GCGGCUGCCUGUCUGUCUGGAGGGGCUCCAGCUCCCGGCAGCUGUCCCUGGAUGCCAUGAAGGUGCCUCUGGACAUUGCCAGGUGUCCUCGGAGAACCGAGACAGCAAGAAGCUCCUAGCCCUGGGUGAUGAGAAAAAUGGGAGAGAAUCUCAGGGUUGCUGCCAGUGGAGCAUGGAGCAGUUGUGUUUUUCCAGGAAAAGCCAAGCAGAAAAGGCUAAGUUGGCUUUUUUCUCCUGGGUGACUUUGGACAGGGGAACAGGAGCCUGAGGGAUUAAGGGCCAGGGUGUGCUAAUACCUCUGUAUCCUAGUUGGGGGCCAGAGGAUUUCACAGAGGACAAAAAUAGACAGGAGAUGAGAAAGACAAAGGGGGCUGGAUUAUGGAACCCGCCGUGGCAUGAAGGUGCGCACCAGCCAGGCCGCUGAGACAUAGGCAGUCAAAGCGUUCUGUGACAGACCGCGUCCCCUGCACCCGCUGAGCCUGGUUCCCUGGCUUCCUCGCCCCGCACUCCGCAAAGCCUGCACCACCUGCUGAGUAACCGCUGCUGUCCAGAAAUGAGAGCCAUGCGGUGGUUUCAUAACCAUUUAUUUGCCUGGUGAUGUCACACGCCGAAGGUUCUGUGGCAGGAAAUGCUGACCCACGCGCUCAUUAGGCUGCAGUAGAACAUCCCACGUGUGAACAUCCUGUACAUAAUCUGACCCUGUUCCCCGCUCGUCUCCCGUUUCUCCCAAUCCCGUGGGGCUGCUGUUCUUACGGCAUUCUUGCUCGAGUGUCUGUCUGUUUCCUGCGGUGCUGGGACCUAAACCCAGAGCCUCGGCAUGCUGGGUAAGCACCCGACCCCAGAGUGGCACCCCGGCCAUGCAGCUGCUUCCUCACGAUGCUUCUAGAAGCAGAAGAGCUAGACCCUUGGCUCUGCACUCGCAGAGCCCAUGGGCCCAAAUGUGUCCCAAGUGGGCCUUUGCGGGGGCCCCACAGCAGCCCAGGGUGUUGCCUGGGAGUAAACUGCCUUUCGUAAAGAGAAGUAAGCACCCCAUUAACUUUGCAGGGUUUAUUUCCAGAGCUUGGCCAGAUGAAUAAUUUUAUUUUAAUUUUUUUCUUUACUCAUUUUUAUGUUAAAUUUGUUUAUAUGGGGUAUGCAUUGUUUUUUAUAUUUUUCUCACAAAAGCAACAUUAACAUGUUAUACAAAUCCAACAUAAGAGUAUUGGCUAAAAAAUAAAUUUAAGAGCUGGGCGGGGUGGGAAAUGCCUGUAAUCUCAGCCCUUGGGAGGCAGGAGCAGGAGGAUUGCUGAGAGUUCAAGGCCAUCCUGAACUGCAUAGUGAAACCCUGUCUCAAAAAGACAAAAUAAUAAUAACAAUAUAAAAAUGAAUUUAAGCCAGGAAUGGUGGUGCAGGCUUAAGGAGGAUUGCCUGGGCUACAUAGUGAGUUCAAGGCCAUCCUGAACUAUAUAGGGAGAUCCUGUCUCCCCCUCUCUUCCAAACACAGUAUCAGCUGAGGCGCUGGGGAAUGGACAGCAUUCUGGAGAACACAGAAUCAGGUGCUGCCCAGAGAAGUUGGCUUCUAGGUGCACAUGUGACCAUUUCUAGUCAAGGGCAGUCCCUAUACCAACACCUUGGGACAAGAGGAAGAGAAAGCACCUCCCAUCAGGUCACUGGUGGCCUUAGAUACUCAGGACUGUGAACUGCACAUGUGAGGGACCUGGGUUCCACCUGACCCCCAUGUCUGUGGGAAAACUGUUCCACACUCUCAAUCACAGGUGCCAAAAAGAUUGGACACUGCUGUUCCACACUGCAUACUUUUUUUUUGUAUGCUGUUCUUAAAAAACAUCUAGGCACGGGCUCUGUCUAUUCAUUAAGCACCCCUAAAACUGCAUAGCUUGAAAAACUAACAAUCGUUUUGUUUGCUAAUGAGUUGGCAAGCUAGACAGGACUCCCAAGUGGCCGGCUCAUCCCUGCUCCAUGGGCUUCAGCUCCCAGGGUGGCCCUAGCCGAGGACUGGGGUCCCUCUCCACAGGAGCCUGGAUAAGGAAGGCUUGAUUCUCCCAUGGUGGUGGCUGCAGGGAAUAAGAGCUGGCUUCUCAGGAGAGCAAGACAGAAGUACAUGAUCUGUGACCUCGUUAUGGAAGUCACGCACUGUCAUUUCUGCUGUACUCCACUGGUCAGGGAAGUCAGAAAGGCCAACCCAAGCUCAAGGGAACGGAAAGCUUCCCUCUUCUGAUGUGGGCAUUAGGAAACAUUUGGGGCGGAAACACUGUUACAGCCAUUUUCAGAAACCAUAAUCCAUGAGUCUGCCACCUCCUCCCACACACAGGAGAUGUGGGAGACCUCCAAGCUCCAGCUCCAUUAUGGGACUGAACUCAGCGGGAUUGGAAUUGAGGCCCGGUGCACAGGGGGCUCACUGGGGACUGUGCCUUGGGGCCAGUUCUUGAAUGCUUCUCUUUUUGGUGUGAAACUGUGAUGAGCGCUCGUGCAGAGGUGGGACAGUCGUAGGACAGGCACUCUGCCUGCUCGGUUCAAUAGGGAGAAGACAGGAAGAACACAGUCAUCACUGGCCCAUAGCAGUUUUGAAAUUAUGGGGCAAAGAUUGGUAAAUGUUGUCAGAUCCUUGGUUAGGACUCAAGUCUUGUCUCCUAGAAUAAGAUCCUGAGCCCUUGUUCGUUUGCUCUAAAAAGAACCUGUAUUUGGUGCCGAGCGGUUAUUAUUAGUUUGCUUCCUAUUCGCACAAGUUCGGGGACCCACUGCCUCAUUUUAUGUUGUACUGGCUCUCUUAGUUCUAAUGGGUCCUGCCUCACUCUGAAUACUUUUGUUAAAAAGUUAGCUACAAGCUGGGCCUGGUGCUCACACCUGUAAUCCCAGCACUCAGGAGGCUGAGGCGGGAGGAUCCAAGUGCUCGAGGCCAGUCUGAACUACAUAGUGAGUGAGACCUUGUCCCAACCUCACCCCCUCCAAGAUUUAGCUGCAAACUGGGUGUGAUAACGCAUACCUGAGGUCAGUCCUACCCUGCGGUUUUCUGCCUUUGAGCCACCUGACUGUUGAUAGAAAACAACCAAAUUAAACCUCUUUUCCUUUAAGUUGUGGGUGUGGAUAUUUUGUCCCAGCCAAGGGAAAGUUGACUAAUAUGUAGAAUAAUUUGAUAUGCAUGAGAAAUUAUGCAUAACCCAAGGUCAUGCAAAUAUUUCUUAUAGGAAUCUUUAAAUCCCUAGAGUUGUUUGUACUGAGGAUUGAACCCAGGACUUUAGCACUGAGCUACACCCCCACUGCAUCCCUCUUUUUGUUUUUGAGACAGAGUCUAGCUAAGUUGCUGAAUUGCCAGGGUAGGUCUCCCAUCUUCUGAGAUCAGGUGCGUUCAGGGUGGUGUGGCCGUAGACUAAAUUGUCCAGGUUGGGCGUGAACUUGCCAUCCUCUUGCCUCAGUCAUAGUUCUGUAUUUUUACAUUGAGAUCUGUGAAGUUUGUUUGCUGAGGCAGGAUCUUGCUAUGUAUCCCAGGCUGACCUCAAGCUUAAAGCAAUUCUCCUGCCUCAGCCUCCCAAGUGCUAGGAUUUAUAGGCACAUGCCAUUACACCCAGCCUUUGAAGCAUUUUGAGCCACAUUUGCUUACAGUAAGGGGUAUAAAAUUUCCAUUUGUGUAGUUACUUUUCUCUAGACACUGAGACAAAAUACUCAAUGCCCAAAAUUAAGAAUUUAUUUAGCUCACAGUUUGUGGAGGUUUUAGUCCAUAAUCAGCUGGCUCCAAAGCACAGUGGUUUGCCUGAGGGGCAACCAGUUCAUGGUGGCAUAAGAGAGCAAAGGUAACAAGAACAAAAAGGGGGAGCAAACCUCUUUUCCUCUCUUAUUUUGCAAGCAGGCUACUCCCCUGCACCCCGUUGGGCAUGAAAGCACUCAGGCCAUCUCCAUUCCCUCCUCUUGCACAGCCUCAGGAUGUUUACAAAAAGAGGACCCUCAUCCCCUCCUGAAUCACUUAAAUGUCUAAACUUCCCAAAGUGAUACAGUAUAUCAACUAUUACAACAGUUUGGAGAGUGAACAGCCACUCUGCCACUUGUCCUCUACUCGGGAGGAUACAGACCUGCCCAGUUACUUAGUUAAGCUUCUAAACUUCUCAGAUUGACACAAUGAAUCAACAGUAAUACCCUUCUUAACAUAAGUGGAAGAGAAACAAAUAAAUUGCAUUAACAUUACAAAAGAAGUCAGAUUGGCAGGUGACAGGAUGUCUGUGUAACAAACCUGCUGGAAUCUACAAGAAAAUGCUACUAGAACUAGCAAGUCAGAGGGGCUGCAGGGUACAAACUCGGAGCCAAUUGCAUUGCUGCAUACAGGUGAUGGACAGCUGGAAAUGAGAACUUUAAACCAGUACCACGGACAAGGCAAGCUAAUUCUAAAAUUCACGUGGAAAUGAAAAGGAGUGGAAAGCCAAAAGAUGUUAAAAGUAAUGACAAAGCUGGAGAUUAAUACCUGAUUUCAGGACUUACCAUAAGUUUACCAUAUUUAAGACACUGUGCUUUUGAUCUAAAAACAGAAAAAUGGAUCAAUGGAACAGAACAGAGUGUCUUUAAAUAGAUUUACACAUAAAUAGACAACUAAUUUUAGACAGAGGUCCAAAAACAAUUUGGCAUAGAGCAGAUAGUCUUGCCAAUUUUAAGUUGGGUGAUGUUUUUCAAAUAUUUUUCCUGGUAAAUAGUUCCUUGUCACUUGAAAGCAUAGAAAUUUGAAAGCAUAGAAAUUCUAAAUUUUGAUGAAACCCACUUUAUCUUUGCUCUCUUUCUUUCUUUCUUUCUUUCUUUCAAUUUGUGUUUUUGUGUCCUGUAUGAGAAAUCUUUCCCAAACAGGUCACGAUGUUAUCCUAUGUCAUCUCCUAGAAUUUUUAUUGUCUUGGGCUUUACAUUAAGAAUAUGAUCCAUUGUAAAUUAAUUUUGCGUGGAGAGCCAAGAAUGAGCUAGGCCCCCCCUCAAACCUGCCCUUCCUCUCUCCCUCCCUGCCCGCCCUCCUCCUUCCUUCCUUCCUUCCUUCCUUCCUUUCUUUCCUGUGGUUGUACAGUCGUUCAAGCGUCAUUAUUGAAAAGACUAUCCUUUCUUUAUUGAGCUGCCUUUGCACCUUGGUUGAAAAUCAAUUGCCCCUAUAUGCGUGGGUCUAUUUCUGGACUCUAUUCUGUCCUAUUGAUCUAUGAGUCUGUUCUUUCACCAAUACCACACUGUCUUGAUUACUGUAGCUUUACAGUAAGUCUUGAAAUCAGGUAAUAAAAGCCCGAGAUCUUUUCUCAGGGUGAGAACUUGUUUUUCACCUAAAGAAGCCAAAAAUGAGAAACAGUCUAGCUUUUGAGCCCGGCGGGUUCUGGUUUCUUUAGACAUAAAGAGCUGCUGCUUUAGUUCGUUCCCCUGCUUUUGCAUUUUACCUUAGCG